rfam:Tupaia chinensis contig85708, whole genome shotgun sequence.
GUUCUGGUUUCGGCAGCACAUAUACUAAAAUUGGAACGGUACAGAGAAGAUUAGCAUGGUCCCCGUGCAAGGAUGACACGCAAAUUCGUGUACCAUUCCAUAUUUUU